rnacentral:rRNA from 1 species
ACGGGAGGCAGCAGUGGGGAAUAUUGCACAAUGGGCGCAAGCCUGAUGCAGCGACGCCGCGUGAGGGAUGACGGCCUUCGGGUUGUAAACCUCUUUCAGUAGGGAAGAAGCGUAAGUGACGGUACCUGCAGAAGAAGCGCCGGCUAACUACGUGCCAGCAGCCGCGGUAAUACGUAGGGCGCAAGCGUUAUCCGGAAUUAUUGGGCGUAAAGAGCUCGUAGGCGGUUUGUCGCGUCUGCCGUGAAAGUCCGGGGCUCAACUCCGGAUCUGCGGUGGGUACGGGCAGACUAGAGUGAUGUAGGGGAGACUGGAAUUCCUGGUGUAGCGGUGAAAUGCGCAGAUAUCAGGAGGAACACCGAUGGCGAAGGCAGGUCUCUGGGCAUUAACUGACGCUGAGGAGCGAAAGCAUGGGGAGCGAACAGGAUUAGAUACCCUGGUAGUCCAUGCCGUAAACGUUGGGCACUAGGUGUGGGGGACAUUCCACGUUUUCCGCGCCGUAGCUAACGCAUUAAGUGCCCCGCCUGGGGAGUACGGCCGCAAGGCUAAAACUCAAAGGAAUUGACGGGGGCCCGCACAAGCGGCGGAGCAUGCGGAUUAAUUCGAUGCAACGCGAAGAACCUUACCAAGGCUUGACAUGAACCGGAAAGACCUGGAAACAGGUGCCCCGCUUGCGGUCGGUUUACAGGUGGUGCAUGGUUGUCGUCAGCUCGUGUCGUGAGAUGUUGGGUUAAGUCCCGCAACGAGCGCAACCCUCGUUCUAUGUUGCCAGCACGUGAUGGUGGGGACUCAUAGGAGACUGCCGGGGUCAACUCGGAGGAAGGUGGGGACGACGUCAAAUCAUCAUGCCCCUUAUGUCUUGGGCUUCACGCAUGCUACAAUGGCCGGUACAAAGGGUUGCGAUACUGUGAGGUGGAGCUAAUCCCAAAAAGCCGGUCUCAGUUCGGAUUGGGGUCUGCAACUCGACCCCAUGAAGUCGGAGUCGCUAGUAAUCGCAGAUCAGCAACGCUGCGGUGAAUACGUUCCCGGGCCUUGUACACACCGCCCGUCAAGUCACGAAAGUUGGUAACACCCGAAGCCGGUGGCCUAACCCCUUUGUGGGAGGGAGC